UACGUAGGGUGCAAGCGUUGUCCGGAAUUAUUGGGCGUAAAGAGCUCGUAGGCGGCUUGUCACGUCGACUGUGAAAACCCGGGGCUCAACUCCGGGCCUGCAGUCGAUACGGGCUGGCUUGAGUGCGGUAGGGGAGACUGGAAUUCCUGGUGUAGCGGUGAAAUGCGCAGAUAUCAGGAAGAACACCCGUGGCGAAGGCGGCUCUCUGGGACGGUACUGACGCUGAGACGCGAAAGCAUGGGGAGCGAACAGG
rnacentral:rRNA from 1 species